UAGGGAAUCUUCGGCAAUGGGGGCAACCCUGACCGAGCAACGCCGCGUGAGUGAAGAAGGUUUUCGGAUCGUAAAGCUCUGUUGUAAGUCAAGAACGGGUGUGAGAGUGGAAAGUUCACACUGUGACGGUAGCUUACCAGAAAGGGACGGCUAACUACGUGCCAGCAGCCGCGGUAAUACGUAGGUCCCGAGCGUUGUCCGGAUUUAUUGGGCGUAAAGCGAGCGCAGGCGGUUCGAUAAGUCUGAAGUUAAAGGCUGUGGCUCAACCAUAGUUCGCUUUGGAAACUGUCAAACUUGAGUGCAGAAGGGGAGAGUGGAAUUCCAUGUGUAGCGGUGAAAUGCGUAGAUAUAUGGAGGAACACCGGUGGCGAAAGCGGCUCUCUGGUCUGUAACUGACGCUGAGGCUCGAAAGCGUGGGGAGCGAACAGGAUUAGAUACCCUGGUAGUCCACGCCGUAAACGAUGAGUGCUAGGUGUUGGAUCCUUUCCGGGAUUCAGUGCCGCAGCUAACGCAUUAAGCACUCCGCCUGGGGAGUACGACCGCAAGGUUGAAACUCUAAAGUGAAUUGAC
rnacentral:rRNA from 1 species